CAGUCGAGCGACAGACAGGAGCUUGCUCCUUUGACGUUAGCGGCGGACGGGUGAGUAACACGUGGGUAACCUACCUAUAAGACUGGGAUAACUUCGGGAAACCGGAGCUAAUACCGGAUAAUAUUUCGAACCGCAUGGUUCGAUAGUGAAAGAUGGUUUUGCUAUCACUUAUAGAUGGACCCGCGCCGUAUUAGCUAGUUGGUAAGGUAACGGCUUACCAAGGCGACGAUACGUAGCCGACCUGAGAGGGUGAUCGGCCACACUGGAACUGAGACACGGUCCAGACUCCUACGGGAGGCAGCAGUAGGGAAUCUUCCGCAAUGGGCGAAAGCCUGACGGAGCAACGCCGCGUGAGUGAUGAAGGUCUUCGGAUCGUAAAACUCUGUUAUUAGGGAAGAACAUACGUGUAAGUAACUAUGCACGUCUUGACGGUACCUAAUCAGAAAGCCACGGCUAACUACGUGCCAGCAGCCGCGGUAAUACGUAGGUGGCAAGCGUUAUCCGGAAUUAUUGGGCGUAAANGCGCGCGUAGGCGGUUUUUUAAGUCUGAUGUGAAAGCCCACGGCUCAACCGUGGAGGGUCAUUGGAAACUGGAAAACUUGAGUGCAGAAGAGGAAAGUGGAAUUCCAUGUGUAGCGGUGAAAUGCGCAGAGAUAUGGAGGAACACCAGUGGCGAAGGCGACUUUCUGGUCUGUAACUGACGCUGAUGUGCGAAAGCGUGGGGAUCAAACAGGAUUAGAUACCCUGGUAGUCCACGCCGUAAACGAUGAGUGCUAAGUGUUAGGGGGUUUCCGCCCCUUAGUGCUGCAGCUAACGCAUUAAGCACUCCGCCUGGGGAGUACGACCGCAAGGUUGAAACUCAAAGGAAUUGACGGGGACCCGCACAAGCGGUGGAGCAUGUGGUUUAAUUCGAAGCAACGCGAAGAACCUUACCAAAUCUUGACAUCCUUUGACAACUCUAGAGAUAGAGCCUUCCCCUUCGGGGGACAAAGUGACAGGUGGUGCAUGGUUGUCGUCAGCUCGUGUCGUGAGAUGUUGGGUUAAGUCCCGCAACGAGCGCAACCCUUAAGCUUAGUUGCCAUCAUUAAGUUGGGCACUCUAAGUUGACUGCCGGUGACAAACCGGAGGAAGGUGGGGAUGACGUCAAAUCAUCAUGCCCCUUAUGAUUUGGGCUACACACGUGCUACAAUGGACAAUACAAAGGGCAGCGAAACCGCGAGGUCAAGCAAAUCCCAUAAAGUUGUUCUCAGUUCGGAUUGUAGUCUGCAACUCGACUACAUGAAGCUGGAAUCGCUAGUAAUCGUAGAUCAGCAUGCUACGGUGAAUACGUUCCCGGGUCUUGUACACACCGCCCGUCACACCACGAGAGUUUGUAACACCCGAAGCCGGUGGAGUAACCAUUGGAGCUAGCCGUCGAAGGUGGACAAAUGAUGGG
rnacentral:rRNA from 1 species